AGGCCAGGGGAUGGCUGGGCUCCCUCUCUUCUCCUCUGGGGGGGGAGAGGGGAGCCCUGCGACCCCCCAACUCAGCCUUUGGCUAGAGUUAGAGUCAGCAUUUGGAGUGUGUGCUGUGAAGGAAGAGAUUCACAGCACCUGUGAGUAAAUUCACAAAACAGGAGUUCUAGAGGCUUUUGGCACCACUACCAGCCUGGAGCAUGAAGAAGUGAUGUGAAGAUGGCAUUACCUAGAAAAAGCGUGCUGGAGUGGCAGGAAGCUUCCUAAAUUUGUUAAAAAUACGCAUGCUUUUAAGAAGACAGAGUAUCUGUCAGCUAAACAAGUGGAAGAGUUCUGCUUCAUUUUGAUGAGAUGCUCUGUAGUGACCAACUUGCCCUUUGGACAUUUAAGACAGCUGAGUGCCAGGACUGUCUCAAGGAAAAGUGGUAGCAAGAGAAGUAGUAAGUUGUGGCCACGUGUUCAAAGACAAAGUCAUGUAAGUGCUCAUGCAUUUGUGACUCAAAUGAACAAGCAUGCUUCCACUCUCCGUUCCCCUCUCUAACUGAAAUCAUGUGCAUUAGAGUCUGAAUUUUUCUCAUUUGUCACAGGUGAUGAAAACUCAUUAAAUUUGGGUUGAAAUCCUGACCUCAUCACAAACUCUUUUCCUUUUAUGACCCUGGGUAUGUCUUGUAUUUUCACUUUUUCUGUCAUGAUCCUGACCUUUUCGGGACACACAUAUGUAAGGGUUUUGCAUACCUUGGCCCUGAUUUUAGUGUACCUACUUCGUACCUUCACCUCGAUUUUAGUGUGCACAUUAAACUACACUGUGACAAAAAUAACAACCAUUUUCUGCUUUC